AACGUAGGAGGCGAGCGUUAUCCGGAUUUACUGGGCGUAAAGCGCGCGCAGGCGGUUCCGUUAGUCGGACGUGAAAGCUCCUGGCUUAACUGGGAGAGGCCGUUCGAUACUGCGGGACUUGAGGUUGGGAGAGGAGUGUGGAAGUCCCGGUGUAGUGGUGGAAUGCGUAGAGAUCGGGAGGAACACCUGUGGCGAAAGCGGCACUCUGGGCCACACCUGACGCUGAGGUGCGAAAGCGUGGGUAGCAAACAGG
rnacentral:rRNA from 1 species